GAAUGAAAGUUAUAAGGUCUCAGAAAAAUAUCAUUACUAUGGUCUACCAUAGGUCAGUGAUACCAAGAGAAAAUUAUGGUGAACACCUAGCUUCACUUAUCAUGACUAAAUAAGAAGCACCCAAUCUAUGGUAGGCAAGCACAUUUGGUUGUCGCCAUCUAAAUCUACCCAUCCUUUGGACUAUAGUGCUAAUAUAUCUUGUAGUAAG